rnacentral:rRNA from 1 species
UAGUCCUACGGGGGGCAGCAGUGAGGAAUAUUGGUCAAUGGACGAGAGUCUGAACCAGCCAAGUAGCGUGAAGGAUGACUGCCCUAUGGGUUGUAAACUUCUUUUAUAAAGGAAUAAAACGAGGCACGUGUGCCUUUUUGCAUGUACUUUAUGAAUAAGGAUCGGCUAACUCCGUGCCAGCAGCCGCGGUAAUACGGAGUAUCCGAGCGUUAUCCGGAUUUAUUGGGUUUAAAGGGAGCGUAGAUGGGUUGUUAAUUCAUUUGUGAAAGUUUGUGUCUCAACCGUAA